rnacentral:rRNA from 1 species
UACGUAGGGGGCAAGCGUUGUCCGGAUUUAUUGGGCGUAAAGAGCGUGUAGGCGGCCAAGCAGGUCCGCUGUGAAAACUCGAGGCUCAACCUCGAGACGUCGGUGGAAACCGUUUGGCUAGAGUCCGGAAGAGGAGAGUGGAAUUCCCGGUGUAGCGGUGAAUGCGCAGAUAUCGGGAAGAACACCCGUGGCGAAGGCGGCUCUCUGGGACGGUACUGACGCUGAGACGCGAAAGCGUGGGGAGC